GGUAAUGUCUGGGAAACUGCCCGAUGGAGGGGGAUAACUACUGGAAACGGUAGCUAAUACCGCAUAACGUCGCAAGACCAAAGAGGGGGACCUUAGGGCCUCUUGCCAUCGGAUGUGCCCAGAUGGGAUUAGCUAGUAGGUGGGGUAAUGGCUCACCUAGGCGACGAUCCCUAGCUGGUCUGAGAGGAUGACCAGCCACACUGGAACUGAGACACGGUCCAG
rnacentral:rRNA from 1 species